AAGUCUUAAACCUUAGAAGAAGAAAGAAAAAGAAAGUUCAAUUAGAAGAGAUGACAAAUAUUAAGGGCUUGAGUUUAACCAUUUUGUUGGUUAGUGUUAUUUUAGCUUCUAGUUAUAUACAUGAAGCUUUUGCACAGGCAGGGUAUGGAGGUAUUGACCCCUUUGAGGCAGCUUUAGUUCACUGUAAUGCUGGCCCUAUUGAAAAACAAAAUUGUUGCAAAGCACUAAGUGCUGCUGUACACAAUGAGGAAUUCUGCUGGUCUUCUUUGUUUGGACAGAUUUUCGUUACUGAUCUAAUUAACUGUCCUGUUAUUCCAAUGUGCUAAAGUACUUGCCUAACAACGAAAGAAUGUCAAACAAGAAAUCAAUUAGCUGGUGUUUUGACAUUGAUUUUCUACCAUGUCUAGAGAGGGAAAAAAAAAA